UAUCUGACCCGACCAGCCCGUUUGCCACUCCUAGUUGGUUGUCUACUAUAGAAUCUUCAGGAUAUUAGUUGGUUUCUUAUUUCCAUUAUCUGUUACUUUCAGUUACUGCAACGACUGCAGAGACCUUGACCUGUGUCGAGACAGAGCUUUGAUUUAUCAGGAGUGGCGUUGUGCUGUGCCCCAAUGUGGGCAACCUUGUGAUCGUGAAGCAACGGAAAAUGCUCUUAUUCAAAUUGUGCGGCAGAGAGAGAGGCUAUACCAUCUUCAAGAUCUGGUAUGCCUAAAAUGCCACCAGAUUAAAGCUGCACAUUUAGCAGACCACUGUACUUGUGCCGGGUCAUUUAGCUGCAAGGAAGGUGUCUCGGAGUUCCGCAAUAAAAUGCAAGUCUUCUUCAACAUAGCUGUAAAUCAAAAGUUUCAAUUACUCCAAGAGUGCACUUCUUGGAUUUUGGAAGCCAGAUAACCACAGCCUACAGAGUAUUCUAGGAGUCCAUGACAUGGGAGCUGACCGGUUUUAGAAAUUCAGCUGUCUACAUGGGUUCGGUAAUUUGGGCUGGAUAGUCAAAAGCUGGUAUAAUGCCCCCGAGGACUGCUAGCACUGGAGAAGUGCCAGUUACCUCAACAGCUGCUCCCUUUUUCGGAGAGGAAAGAUGGAUAAGUAAAUGUUGCAUCCAAUAUCCCAUACCAGAUUUGCUGGUUUGGUGGAAAAUUGACGACUAUAUACAGAGCAUACAUAUAAUUGCUUAUUUGGAGGCACCAAUUCGUCAUCUUUUACAAGAGUUCCGUAUCACGCUCUAGAAAUGAUGCAUUCUGCAUUUAUGUUACAAGAGUUAAGCUGUAUAUAUUCGUAUUGCAAGAGUAGUGAAAUGUAAAUAGUCAUCCUUUUUCGAAGCUUGUUGUGAAGCGUACAUCACUCAUGGGGAUUAUUUAUGUAGUUAUGAGAAUAAUGAUUUGAAUCUCAAACUUUGCACUUGACAAGGAACCAGCGGUAUCUUAGUUUAGCUAGAUAUGCCUUCGAUUGAAGUUGAUUACAGAAUGAACUACUGAGUAGUGGAAGAAAUACUAUUGAAACAUAAACUUUGUAAUUUAACACUUAUGUUUCUUUAUCUCCUUUUUCCCUCUGCCUAAGGGGAUGUAUGUA